GAUGAACGCUGGCGGCGUGCCUAAUACAUGCAAGUCGAGCGAACAGACGAGGAGCUUGCUCCUCUGACGUUAGCGGCGGACGGGUGAGUAACACGUGGAUAACCUACCUAUAAGACUGGGAUAACUUCGGGAAACCGGAGCUAAUACCGGAUAAUAUAUUGAACCGCAUGGUUCAAUAGUGAAAGACGGUUUUGCUGUCACUUAUAGAUGGAUCCGCGCCGCAUUAGCUAGUUGGUAAGGUAACGGCUUACCAAGGCAACGAUGCGUAGCCGACCUGAGAGGUUGAUCGGCCACCCUGGAACUGAGCCACGGUCCAGACCCCCACGGGAGGCAGCAGUAGGGAAUCCUCCGCAAUGUGCGAAUGCUUGCCGGAGUAACGCCGCGUGAGUUAUGAAGGUCUUCUGAUCGUAAAACGCUGUUAGUAGGGAAGAACAAAUGUGUAAGUAACUAGUCACGUCUUGACGGUACCUAAUCAGAAAGCCACGGCUAACUACGUG
rnacentral:rRNA from 1 species